rnacentral:rRNA from 1 species
CGUGGCGGCGUGCUAAUACAUGCAAGUCGAGCGGACAGACGGGAGCUUGCUCCCGGACGUUAGCGGCGGACGGGUGAGAAACACGUGGGCAACCUGCCCCUUAGACUGGGAUAACUCCGGGAAACCGGAGCUAAUACCGGAUAAUCCCUUUCUCCACCUGGAGAGAGGGUGAAAAAUGGUUCGUCUAUAACACCUUCUGAGCCCGAGCCGUAUUAUUUGGUU